rnacentral:lncRNA from 1 species
UCCGGAAGAACGUUACUAAGUUUCAAGGACAUUAGAGAUAACAAUUACCACGCUGAAACCCACGUAGAAAAUGGAGUUGAAUUUAUGUGCAUAACUUCCUACGAAUAUGGCCAGAAGCGUAUUCUAGAGAAGAUGGAGCGUAACCCGAGUGGUCUGUAUACUACGACCAUACACCCCAUCGAAUGCCACUAUGUGGCCGG